rnacentral:rRNA from 1 species
CCUAACACAUGCAAGUCGAACGGUAACAGGAAGAAGCUUGCUUCUUUGCUGACGAGUGGCGGACGGGUGAGUAAUGUCUGGGAAACUGCCUGAUGGAGGGGGAUAACUACUGGAAACGGUAGCUAAUACCGCAUAACGUCGCAAGACCAAAGAGGGGGACCUUCGGGCCUCUUGCCAUCGGACGUGCCCAGAUGGGAUUAGCUAGUAGGUGGGGUAACGGCUCACCUAGGCGACGAUCCCUAGCUGGUCUGAGAGGAUGACCAGCCACACUGGAACUGAGACACGGUCCAGACUCCUACGGGAGGCAGCAGUGGGGAAUAUUGCACAAUGGG